rnacentral:misc_RNA from 1 species
AACGCUUUCUACAUCAGCAAGUUUACAGCUUUCCAAUGUGCUUUGAAUUACUUGAUGUAAUUCCUCGCUCAUCCCUUCUUUAAAAAGUUCUUUCAUGAGCACAAUAAUACUUACUGUAUGAGGAAUAAAUCCAAGAUUAGCCAUUUCUCUGAAAAGAUUCAAGGCUCUAUGCAAAUUCCCACCCCUGGAAUGACCGUGUAUAAGUAGGCUAUAAGCUACUUCACUCGGCUUCUUGUGUUUUUGCAGCAUCAACUCAAAAACUUGGUCAGCUUCAUUCAACAGACCUUUCAUGCAGAAUCCUUUAAUAAGAUCUACCGCACUCUUCAAUUCAAGAUCCUUGCAACUUUCUAUUAGCAUGUCAUAAGUGACACAAUUUGGCACUGAUUGCUCAUACAACAACUUGAACAGAAGCCGCUUUGCUUCCCUAGU